GUAUAGAAUAGAAUCCGAUUGAAAUUGAUUCGACAAUCGAUGAAUGUAAAAAGAAAGAAUUGAAUGAAAACGGAUGGAUAGGAGUAGUGGCAGUAGUGUAAAAGGUGACAGGCAAACGGAAUAAAAGAUGAAAUGAAAUGGAUCGUGUAGAGUUUGCUACUUUUUUUUCUCUGUUUUGGAUUUCUCAUAUUAUUGCAAAUUGUGGUGACUUUCAGAUA
ensembl:ncRNA F56D1.8 ncRNA